GUACACUCCUGCGGGAGGCCGCAGUGGGGAAUAUUGGACAAUGGGCGCAAGCCUGAUCCAGCCAUGCCGCGUGAGUGAUGAAGGCCCUAGGGUUGUAAAGCUCUUUCACCGGUGAAGAUAAUGACGGUAACCGGAGAAGAAGCCCCGGCUAACUUCGUGCCAGCAGCCGCGGUAAUACGAAGGGGGCUAGCGUUGUUCGGAUUUACUGGGCGUAAAGCGCACGUAGGCGGACUAUUAAGUCAGGGGUGAAAUCCCGGGGCUCAACCCCGGAACUGCCUUUGAUACUGGUAGUCUUGAGUGCGAGAGAGGUGAGUGGAAUUCCGAGUGUAGAGGUGAAAUUCGUAGAUAUUCGGAGGAACACCAGUGGCGAAGGCGGCUCACUGGCUCGAUACUGACGCUGAGGUGCGAAAGCGUGGGGAGCAAACAGGAUUAGAAACCCCAGUAGUCCC
rnacentral:rRNA from 1 species